rnacentral:rRNA from 1 species
AUUGAACGCUGGCGGCAUGCCUUACACAUGCAAGUCGAACGGCAGCACGGGGGCAACCCUGGUGGCGAGUGGCGAACGGGUGAGUAAUAUAUCGGAACGUACCCUGGAGUGGGGGAUAACGUAGCGAAAGUUACGCUAAUACCGCAUACGAUCUAAGGAUGAAAGUGGGGGAUCGCAAGACCUCAUGCUCCUGGAGCGGCCGAUAUCUGAUUAGCUAGUUGGUGGGGUAAAGGCCUACCAAGGCAUCGAUCAGUAGCUGGUCUGAGAGGACGACCAGCCACACUGGGACUGAGACACGGCCCAGACUCCUACGGGAGGCAGCAGUGGGGAAUUUUGGACAAUGGGGGGCAACCCUGAUCCAGCAAUGCCGCGUGAGUGAAGAAGGCCUUCGGGUUGU